rnacentral:tRNA from 1 species
GGGCCCAUAGCUCAGCCUGGUAUGAGCGCCGCGUUACCCAUAUCCCGCCACAAGAGAAAUGGGAGCGAAGGCAACUCAUCACCAAAAUCGCGGAGGCCGCGGGUUCGAAUCCGCUGAGAAAACCCUCAACGGCGAGCUUCCCGCUGGGUCCACCA